UUUGUGUGUAGUUGCGUUCUGCAUUGCAUAUAGCGUCACGGUCGGUUGUAGUUCAUCUAAUAAAAUGAUGUACGCUUACCACGCUGCACCUUGGUCUAAUUCUUUCAUCAACGAACGUGACAAGUUUACAGGUUCACAGGAGCUAUGUUACCGUGUGCUGUCUAUCCGAGACUGCUAAAUAAUUAGCCAUGGCAGUUUCUAAUGAUUCCUCUUUUCAAGAAGGGCUGGAUGAUGAAACAGGACUCUGGAGGUUAAAUAACAAACAAAAAACAUGAAGAAACCAAUCUGGGAGUCCUGGCAUCAAGACAUUGGCCUAGUGUUUCCUUUCAGCUGUCCAAUUCCAACAGCAGUGUAUCCCUCAAGCCAUCUGGGGCAUGAACAUCCUGUGCCCGUGUGAUCCGAGAGCAAACGUCCAGUUGUGGAGACUAAAGCACAUCGAUAUUUUGAACAUCGCAGAAAUGAUUUCCCACCGUGCCCAUGAUGAAGUACUCACACGAGGAGCAAUAUGAGUCCACACAAUGAAGUAGCACCUGUCCCUUCCAGUGAUGCGGAGUUGACCUUGGACCUGGUGGCAGUAAGGAUGGUCUUCAUGGAGACGACAACAACUGAUCGGAGGACCCCUUUUUAGCAGCGACAGAGUAACGCGCUUGGCCCUAACCACUGCUCCAUAAUUGCUGGCCAUCAACCUCCCUCUCAUAUUGUGCCAGUUGGGUUUGAUGCGCUGUCCAACUUGCCUGCCGUAUAGCCUCCUGCUGCUCCACCGACAGCAAACAAGCCAGGCAGGAUGUCUGCAUGCCCCAGGUGCGCUUGUUUUUAACCAUGCCGGUACAGACAGGGAUGACAGGGAGGGUAGUGGUUGUUCUGGCACAGAUUCAAGGAGACAUGCCAUUCCACUGAACGGAGAUAGAGGGUUGUAGUCUUCAGCCAAAUAUAGGUCCUCCAUUGACUGCACCUGGUUGGGCCACGGCUGGCUUCCUCCAAUCACAUUCCACAUCCGUAUGGACGAUAUUGUGAACUGCCAUAAUAGGUUGCAUGGCUACACUGAUAAGCUCCAUGGAGGCAUUUGUAUGUGGCAGAGAGAAUCCCCUGGUCACCUAUAGAGACCUGCCGAGAUGAAGGAUGUUACGUGACACAUGUCUUUCAAAGCUUGACUUUGAAGACCUUGAAAUGCAUUUGUUGAAAGAAAUGUGCUAUAUAAAUAAAGUUUGAUUUGAUUGAUGACACUACAGCUGUAGAAUAUUAAUAAACUGUCAUUUUCAUGAG
ensembl:lncRNA